rnacentral:rRNA from 1 species
AAUAGAUACCCCGGUAGUCCACGCCGUAAACGAUGAAUGUCAGCCGUUAGUGGGUUUACUCACUCGUGGCGCAGCUAACGCUUUAAGCAUUCCGCCUGGGGAGUACGGUCGCAAGAUUAAAACUCAAAGGAAUUGACGGGGGGCCCGCACAAGCGGUGGAGCAUGUGGUUUAAUUCGACGCAACGCGCAGAACCUUACCAGCCCUUGACAUGUCCAGGACCGGUCGCAGAGAUGUGACCUUCUCUUCGGAGCCUGGAGCACAGGUGCUGCAUGGCUGUCGUCAGCUCGUGUCGUGAGAUGUUGGGUUAAGUCCCGCAACGAGCGCAACCCCCGUCCUUAGUUGCUACCAUUUAGUUGAGCACUCUAAGGAGACUGCCGGUGAUAAGCCGCGAGGAAGGUGGGGAUGACGUCAAGUCCUCAUGGCCCUUACGGGCUGGGCUACACACGUGCUACAAUGGCGGUGACAAUGGGAUGCAAAGGGGCAACCCCUCGCAAAUCUCAAAAAGCCGUCUCAGUUCGGAUUGG